GGCUUUAUAGUCAUUUAUGAUAUUAGACUGCAAUUCUAAAGGUAUAAAAUUUAUUGAGGCUU
rnacentral:tRNA from 1 species